rnacentral:rRNA from 1 species
AUACGGAGGAUGCGAGCGUUAUCCGGAUUUAUUGGGUUUAAAGGGUGCGCAGGCGGCCAUUUAAGUCAGCGGUUAAAUCUUGGGGCUCAACCCCAUUCUGCCGUUGAUACUGGGUGGCUUGAUUGCGGUCGAGGUUGGCGGAAUUCGUUGUGUAGCGGUGAAAUGCAUAGAUAUGACGAAGAACACCGAUUGCGUAGGCAGCUGACCAGACCGCAAAUGACGCUCAUGCACGAAAGUACGGGGAUCGAACAGGAUUAGAUACCCUGGUAGUCCGCACAGUAAACGAUGAAUACUUGUUUUCGGCGAUAUAAUGUCGGAGGCAAAGCGAAAGCGAUAAGUAUUCCACCUGGGGAGUACGCCGGCAACGGUGAAACUCAAAUAAAUUGACGUGG